rnacentral:misc_RNA from 1 species
AAAAAGGAGGAAUCUUAGAGUUAAUAGGUGUCCUUAAACAUUCUCUAUGUGCAGGUCUGCAAAAAGAAAAACGAAGAAAUGAAGUUAGGUACUUGUAAGAAGCAACCAGGAAAAUUAGUUCUUCGAGUAUUCAAUGGUCCCUGGAGUUUGCAAGUUCUUACAAGAACCUUAACAAGAGCAAAUGAAAGCUGAGCAUCUCUAGAGGCAUCUGAGAAAAAAGUACAAAUUUUAAGCUUCAGAUCUAACACCCACAAAGCCCAAAUGCUAGAUGUGUUUCAAAUAACCAAGGGAGGCAGAAAGUAGCAACAUCGAUGGUGUGGGGUGCUUCGAUAAUGGUGAGUAGUAAUGAACAACAUUAGAAACACUAGUGAUGGCUCACAUGAAAUGGAGAUAAGCGAAAUGUUACAUAAUGGAGAGA